rnacentral:ncRNA from 2 species
UGCUAUCCACACGGGUGCCCUUGGCAAAGGGCUGAGAUCGGGCUGUUCCGCCUGCGACCGUUCGAACCUGUCCGGGUCAUUCCGGCGAAGGAAGUAGGAAGUACUGCUAU